rnacentral:lncRNA from 1 species
GAGGGGUCACCACAGAGUGCACUGUUUGUGACUGGAACAUUGGGAAUGCUUCCACUAUGGAGAACCUGAUGGCACCAGGCAAUAGUAGUUCUCCCUGAAAUCUGAAUGCUUUCAAAAGAAAAUUGCAUCCCAUUCUGGCUGUACAUUCUCUGGAGCGCCAUCCUGUAAAUCCUUGUCAUGCCAUAAAGAUGCUGCAAUUAAUGAAGAAAACAAGCACAAUUAUAGCCUCUUCCAGCCUUCUCUCCGUUUCUCGGACACAACCCAGCCCUCACCUCAGAGCUGCUGUGCUUGCCGUUUCUUCAGGCCGGUCUCUCGCCCCUCACCUUUGCAGGGCCGCCUCAGGAGUUACCAGGUGUCUGCAUGAAGGUCACCUCUGCGCAGGCCUUUCCUUGCAUCCAGAACGAGCGGUCCUCCCUCUCAAUCACACUCCAGUGCAUCACCCUGUUUGUCUUCGGAGCUCACAGAACAAGCACAGUUCUUUACAUGUUGUGAAGUUAUGCUCAUGA